UUGAAGGUGGAAGAGGCUUUACGAUGUGCUGGCAGAGGCCACACAUGGAGGGAUCGUAAUCCAAGUUCAUCCCACAAUGAUUAGAAUGCAAUGAAGAUGUCACCAAGAGGUGACAUGAUAUAGCGGAUCGUGGUGGAACAGUUCAUGGUAAUGUGAUACACACGAAAUUAGUCCCGCAAGGGACUAGAUCAUACAGAGGUAUGAUCGGGAGGUAUUGGGAGCUCCACUCUGGUGAACAACACGACAACAAGAAAGGCUAUGGAUUUAAGGAGUGAAUGUCAUAGUACUGCAAAGGCGGGUCUUCCGUGUAUGCAUUGAAUUUUGUAUCGGAUGAAAGCUUUAGUCAUCAGCAUAUGGGGGUUAUGUAUUGCCAAGGGAGAAUUUCGAAUGCAAGUACUAGUGAGUCCCAUGGGGAGACUUGAUCAUGCAGAAGUAUGAUCGAAGCGGUUGGAGAGUUGGAUUAUUCCAGAGCUCAUAUUCGCUUAAGGGAGCCUGACAAGUCAGGGGACAAGGUCGAGUAAGCGAACGUUGCUACCAAGGAAGCUAAGGAGAACAGAAUCAGUGCGAGCCUUGUAACAUGAUGGCAGAGGCUAUGCAUGAGAGUUGCAGUCUGUCUUUCUAUCGACCAAGGGGAAUUGCUCGGAGAACACAAAGGUGUUGAAGUAGGUGGUCAAAAGGAGCGAGAAAGUGACAACGAGUCCAGAGGGACUUAGCUACCCAAAACCAAGUAUCGGUUAGAAUAGAGGUAAACUCGGAGGAGUGCCACAGUGCCGCGAAGGCGAAUCUACUGAUCACGAAGAAAGGGACGCAGAUACGAGCUGACAGAUAGUAGGGCCAUGGGCAUGACAGCGCCAUGGUACUGCAGAGGUGGGACUUUCGUGGAAUCAUCGAUCCCUUGCUCUCAUGGAGGGAGAGCGCUUGGUCAUGAAAGGGGCUGAGGAGGUAGAGAAUGCAAAAGCAAACUCUAAGUACUGAGACAAGGCUGAAGGGCAGAGGCCAAGAAACUUCGUAAGACUGGUGUCAACGAGUUUCUCAUCAAGAUAACCAAAAGUUGAGGACUUCGGAUCGAUGCAUGAGUGCUCGACCAAGGAACGAAGUAGGCAGUAUAUGGUGCUGUACCUUUGCUACUAAGAGGAAUAGGCAGCAGAGAUGAUAGAGAAGAUGGUACAAUCCCAAAGGCGGCCAAAACUAUUAGAUUCUUGUUCCAAGUUGGGGUGAAAACUUCUUACAUUCUAGAAGUUCAAUGGCAUUGAGAAGGUGAAUCACAGUAGCUAACUCAACGCAAGGAGUGCAAAUACUUCAAGUGCUUUGGAAGUAUGAGCAAAGCGGGUGAAGGCUAAUAACCAGCUCGAUGCAUAGAGUACAACCCUCGAGGAGGCAAGCGAAGUCAAGUAACCUUUGCUUUCUCAACUCUUAAGAGAAUAGGCGAAACCGAGUACUCAAAUUCUCUUAUAUAUCCAGCAGAGGAGCUCUGCAUAGCUUCAAAGACCCUUUGAAGAAACUUAAGGGAAGACAUUGGUUGUCAAAUCCUCAUCAAUGGUGAUCGGUGCUGCUGAGCGUAGAUUGUCCGCUUCAUUUCCUAACAGAAUGUUAAUCGAAAGCAGAAGUGAUGUGAUCCUACUUGGAAAUGACAACUAAGUGGAAGAAGAAUCGAUAGGCAAAUUUUGCGGAGGAAGGACCCAAAAACUUUAAAGUCUGCGAGGCGAUGCUUGUUAAAGCUCUAACACGCAUCCAUCCAGUUCAAGCGGCAUGAGGCAUUUGAGAGACUAGUGCAUACCAAGGAUGAUCUUUUCCUUCAUCUGAGGGAUCCGUACGAACUAACAGGGAUCAGCACAACUCAGUCGACCCCAGACCAGAGUCAGAGUCAUUAGCGUGUUGAAGUAGUAUGGUAGAUCAAAGUUUGACUACUCAACAACAGCGGUGGAGUGCAAUUGGGAGCCAAGAGGCACAUUGCAUUUGGAGCAGAAGAUUCAAGGCUCAGCAAAGGCAAGGAGAUGUAGCAUCUGCAAAGGCUUCAACGAGGACGUCGAAGGAAUAAGUGGGGGAGAAUGUCACAGACAAAAUUGUAAACGAGGUGUUUGAUGUAAUGCUCAUGUAUGUCCGUGUCUUUCGGUUUUGUUCAUGAUUUGCACAGCAUGUAAAAGGCUAACAGUAGGCUUAGCAACCCUAUUUUGGUUGGCUUUAGUAGUCGCUUUAGGCUAGUAAACAAAGGUUGUGUCAUGUGGGCACUUGUGGGUAUUUCGAUUUGUAGUGGACCAUUUUGGACCUUUUGUUAUGUGAUUGUUCAGAGCUUGUGAAGUCUAUGUUUGUAAUUUGUAUUGGCUAUGAAGUGUUUACUGAAAUAGUUGCUUGUAGAUCCUGAGUGAAACACUUUCUCAAACCCGUUUUCUCUUUUGUAGGUCCUAAGGGACCAUAGGAGAUUUUGGGGAGGUUGAUCUUUGCGAACGAACACGCAAGGGUGCUACACGACUUAGGCAAAAUUAGCUAAGUUCGUGACAUCUAUUAAAUAGUGUUACUCAAGAAGGGAGGUUCACACCCUUUCAUUUUAAACACAAAUAUAAGCUCACUCAUAUGAUGUAUGCGGAUGAUAUUUUGUUUAUGUUUUAGAGCUAACAAGAAGUCUUGCAAAACUAGUGUCAAUAUCUUUCGUAUGUAUGAGAUCCUCACUAACCAACGAAUGAAUCUGGUAAAAUCUGAAAUUUUCUUCCCUUGUGAUAACAACCAAUCUACUAAAGCCUCUAUAUGAUUUCUUUGUGUCGUUUGCCGGUUUAUGCUUUUGAUAACCAUUUGCAUGAAAUUCAAUAGAAGUUAAGCUCUUGGCAAGCAAAUUUUUUAUCGCAAGCUGGUCGCAUUACUUAUAUUAAAUCGGUUUUGAUGGCCUCCCCUGUCCAUAUGUUGUCUGUUUCUUGGAUGCCGGUUCAUUUUCUGAACAAUAUCAAUAGAAUGGUUUGGAACUUCUUAUGGCAGAAGAACUCCUCUACCAGGGGUCUUCACCUCCUCUCUUGGGAUACCAUCACUGCAGCUAAGGAUAAGGGUGGUCUUGGAAUUCAACAUUUGGUGUUUACUUUUACUGCAUUGCAAAUUAAGAGAAUAUAUAAUUAUCUAAACAAAACUGACAGUAUUUGGUGCAAAGUUGUUUAUGCUAAAUAUGGAGAGGUUUAUCCUUGGCAGAAAGGCUCUUUUGUUAAUGCUAGCUGGUCUUGGCGUUUGUUUAUGCAUUCUAUGUGGGAUUUGCAUUUGGCAUUUUCAUGUUUAAUUGGUAAUGGUUGUUUGGUUCACACUUUUGACCACAGUUGGCUUUUUGAUAUGCUGAUUUCUUAUAUACCUACUUAUGUAAAUAUGGAUUAUGUGCAUAAGGCUUCUACCAUUUCUACUUUGAUUUCUGAUCAGAAUUGGGAUGUUGCUAAACUGGAUUUGUUUUUCGGAUCCCUGCUUGUCGAUAUGGUUUUAAAAGUGGAUUUAUCAUGUGUCCCCAAUGACGAUUCUUGGAUUUGGACCCUUGACUCAAAGGGGCAACCAUCAACCAAGGCUACAUAUGGCUUUCUAUCAUCUCACUGUGCUGCGGAUCAUGUACAAUCUAAUGUGUGGUCUAGUCUUUGGAGAAUUCCUGCUGUUCCUCGUACUAUGUUAGUUUGUUGAAAAUUACUGCAUGGUCGAUUAGCGACUUCUCAUUACAUAGCGAAUUUUGGUAUAAUGGGAGCUAAUUCCUGCUUUAUGUGUGGUUUUCAUGAAGACAGUUUAUCCCACUUGUUUUUUGGAUGCUCCUUUUCACACGCUGUCUUUUAUAUCAUUAAACAGAAGCUAGAUAUCUCCUUCAGAUUUUAUGAUAUGUGGCAUACUGGUGCAUGGUAAAGGGAAGGUGAUGAGUUGGGUAAACAAUCUUGUUUAACCCUUAAAGCCAUUAUUGCAUAUGCCUUCUGGAUGAUCUGGAAGGCUCGGAAUGAUGUCAUUUUCAAUGGUAAAACAACAACCUCUUAAAGUAUUUUCUGUAAGGUGGUGGCUUGUAUUGCUGUCGAUCCUGUCCAAAGUCCUCCUGAGGGUCCCCCUGCCCCUUCUUCCCACAUUCUUGUGGUCUGGAGGUUGCCGGAGCCUGGAGGUCGCAGCUUUUUGAUGGACAAGGGCAUUCUAUAUAUGGAGAUGUUCGUGGUGCUUCAAGGACUUUGAUUGACUGCUGCUGAUGAUACCGAUCGAUGAUCAAGCUAUACCAGAGAGGAGGAGCGAUGGUAGCAGAGUAAAAACAGUGCUGUAGUGGUAGGAGGAGAAGCAGGACAACGGAAGGAAGAAGAGAAAGAAAUAGCAAAGUCUCAAUUUAAAUUUACGCAUAAAUUAAAUCUGUUUAAGUAGAUCGAUGUCAACAGUAUUGAGCUUAAUUGAUUAUGAUGUAUUAUUGGAUACUCCAAGGGGAUGAUGAGAGUACUUCCUAUUAACUUGAGCAUUGCUGAUGGAUCUUUUACUCCAAGGGUACCGGCUACUGCUUCUUUGAUCAGCAGAAAUGUUAAUCUAGCUUCUGGUCCUCUGCAGGCAGAAUGCCGAGCGAUAAGGGAUGAUUUACCAAAAGCCUCUCAGUUGAAGUUACAUGAUAUCAUUGUUAACUCGGACUCACCGAAAGCCAUACUUAUUUGUAAUAGAAUUAGAUUCAUAUCUUGGCAUUUGUGAAAUAUCUGUAAUGAUGUUCCCAAACAUGCUGAGGAAGUUAGUGUUUUGAGUUUUGAGCAUGCAAACAGAUUGUCAAUCCGACUAGGAUUUUUUUGUUCUCCAGUAUCGGAUGCGAUUCCUGUACUUUUGGGGACAUUUGAAGUCCUAUCAACUGAGUUGAAGGUUUUUGUUUCAAAAAGAAAGAAAGGAAAAAAAAAAAGAAACUUGAGCAAGUGCUAUUUGGAAAGAGUUAAGAUCAUUUCAAUUCUUCCAGGUAUUGCAAAAAGAUACAUAUGGAAAUGAUCCAACAGUGACUGUUGGUU